rnacentral:rRNA from 1 species
GAUGAACGCUGGCGGCGUGCCUAAUACAUGCAAGUCGAGCGAACGGACGAGAAGCUUGCUUCUCUGAUGUUAGCGGCGGACGGGUGAGUAACACGUGGAUAACCUACCUAUAAGACUGGGAUAACUUCGGGAAACCGGAGCUAAUACCGGAUAAUAUUUUGAACCGCAUGGUUCAAAAGUGAAAGACGGUCUUGCUGUCACUUAUAGAUGGAUCCGCGCUGCAUUAGCUAGUUGGUAAGGUAACGGCUUACCAAGGCAACGAUGCAUAGCCGACCUGAGAGGGUGAACGGCCACACUGGAACUGAGACACGGUCCAGACUCCUACGGGAGGCAGCAGUAGGGAAUCGUCCGCAAUGGGCGAAAGCCUGACGGAGCAACGCCGCGUGAGUGAUGAAGGUCUUCGGAUCGUAAAACUCUGUUAUUAGGGAAGAACAUAUGUGUAAGUAACUGUGCACAUCUUGACGGUACCUAAUCAGAAAGCCACGGCUAACUACGUG